GCUGCCUCAGGUUGUGUACCCUGCAACUGAACUUCCCAGCAGACGCCGCUGGCGGCACUCCCAGGCGUUGGCCGAUCAGUUCUGGUCCAGAUUCGUCAGGGAAUACCUUCCCAAUUUACAUGUCAGACAGAAGUGGCAGACCACCCAACCUGACCUGAGCGAAAAUGCUGUGGUCAUGCUCAUGGAUCCUCAACUUCCCAGAGCCCUUUGGCCAGUUGGACGAGUGACUAAAGUUCACCCCAGCGCUGACGGCCACAUCAGGUCAGCAGAUGUUCGAGUUAAAGAUCGAGUUUAUACUCGACCGGUAGCGAGGAUGAUUGUUCUUCCGGUAACACCCGAAGAGGCCGGCGGCCAUGAUUCAUCAUCAAAGACUUAGUUCAUCGCCUUUGUUUGAAACAAAUGUACUUCAUACAUUUGGGGGCGGCUGUUACAAAGGCUCUAGUGUUUAUUACUUUAGUUUGGGAAGGGGAGGUGCGCCACCCGGUGGCGAGUUCGAAUAGUACAUGCAGCAGCUGCAGAAGCACUGUAGCUCUGAGGGAGGAGACGUGCAGCUGCUGCUGACGGCUCCGGUUGGGGUCUAUGUGCGUUCCUGACUGAAUACCACACACACAUACCCAAUCGUACCAAUACCCUACCUACCUCUCCAUCUCCAAGCCUACCUCAUACUGCAUGUUUGUAUUGCUGCUGAACUGCAAUUAAAGAGAGACUCAAACCAGAAAA